AAUAUGGGGCCAAAAAGCCAAAAAAAUAAGUGAUUCGUUUUUAGCCCUUAUAAAAAGAAAACGGAUUCUUGAACCUCUUUCACGCUCAUGUCACGUCGAGGUACUGCAGAAAAAAGAACCGCAAAUUCCGAUCCAAUUUUUCGUAAUCGAUUAGUUAACAUGGUGGUUAACCGUAUUAUGAAAGACGGAAAAAAAUCAUUGGCUUAUCAAAUUCUCUAUCGAGCCGUGAAAAAGAUUCAACAAAAGAACAGAAACAAAUCCACUAUUGGUUUUACGUCCAAGCAAUACGUAGAGUAACUCCCAAUAUAGGAGUAAAAACAAGACGUAAUAAAAAGGAUCGACGCGGAAAGUUCCGAUUGAAAUAGGAUCUAAACAAGGAAGAGCACUUGCCAUUCGUUGGUUAUUAGAAGCAUCCCAAAAGCGUCCGGGUCGAAAUAUGGCUUUCAAAUUAAGUUCCGAAUUAGUAGAUGCUGCCAAAGGGAGUGGGGGUGCCAUACGCAAAAAGGAAGCGACUCAUAGAAUGGCAGAGGCAAAUAGAGCUCUUGCACAUUUUCGUUAAUCCAUGAACAGAAUCUAGGUAUGUAGACACAUGGAUCCAUACAUCUCGAUCGGAAAAGAAUCAAUAGAAGGAGAAUCGGACGAUAUCUUUUUCGAAACAAAUAAAAAGGAAAAAAAAGAGAAAACAGAAAUCAUGAUCAACUAAGCCCUCUCGGGGGCUUGCUUAAGAAUAAGAAAGAGGAAUCUUAUGGAAAUAGCAUGGAAUAAGGUUUGAUCCUAUUCAUGGGGAUUCCGUAAAUAUCCCAUUCCAAAAAUCGAAACAAUCGGGACUUUUCGGAGAUUGGCUGCAGUUACUAAUUCAUGAUCUGGCAUGUACAGAAUGAAAACUUCAUUCUCGAUUCUACGAGAAUUUUUAUGAAAGCGUUUCAUUUGCUUCUCUUCCAUGGAAGUUUCAUUUUCCCAGAAUGUAUCCUAAUUUUUGGCCUAAUUCUUCUUCUGAUGAUCGAUUUAACCUCUGAUCAAAAAGAUAGACCUUGGUUCUAUUUCAUCUCUUCAACAAGUUUAGUAAUAAGCAUAACGGCCCUAUUGUUCCGAUGGAGAGAAGAACCUAUAAUUAGCUUUUCGGGAAAUUUCCAAACGAACAAUUUCAACGAAAUCUUUCAAUUUCUUAUUUUAUUAUGUUCAACUUUAUGUAUUCCUCUAUCCGUAGAGUACAUUGAAUGUACAGAAAUGGCUAUAACAGAGUUUCUGUUAUUCGUAUUAACAGCUACUCUAGGGGGAAUGUUUUUAUGUGGUGCUAACGAUUUAAUAACUAUCUUUGUAGCUCCAGAAUGUUUCAGUUUAUGUUCCUACCUAUUGUCUGGAUAUACCAAGAGAGAUCUACGGUCUAAUGAGGCUACUAUGAAAUAUUUACUCAUGGGUGGGGCAAGCUCUUCUAUUCUGGUUCAUGGUUUCUCUUGGCUAUAUGGUUCAUCUGGGGGGGAGAUCGAGCUUCAAGAAAUUGUGAAUGGUCUUAUCAAUACACAAAUGUAUAACUCCCCAGGAAUUUCAAUUGCGCUUAUAUUCAUCACUGUAGGACUUGGGUUCAAGCUUUCCCCAGCCCCUUUUCAUCAAUGGACUCCUGACGUCUACGAAGGAGUGUGGUUCGUUCGACAAAUUCCUACCUCUAUCUGAGGUGUUUGGGUUUUGCAAAACUCCAUAGACAUGCAGAAGAGAAAUGCUAUCCCCACUCCGACCAAGACAGAACUUUUACCAAAAGUUUAUUGUGAUCUUUUUGUUCAAAUAACAAUUAAGGUGAAGCAGGGUCAGGAACAACGAAUCUCUUUAUGAUAAACAGAUCCAUUUUGCAAGCUCGUUAUUACGGGUAGUUCCUACAAAGAAUCGGACUAAUGACGUAUACAAUGCUUGAAUUAUCGAUGUAAAUGCUACAUAGUGGGUUCUCAUCCUUCAGAGACUACGAGUGUAAUAGGAGCAUCCGUUGACAAAAGGAUCACCCUAAGAUGAUCAUCUCAUGGCUAUUGGGAACGAAUCAAAUCAGAUGGUUCUAUUUCUCAACCUUUCUGACUUGCUCCUACGGAACCAAGGUCGAAAGGAUUGAAAAAGUCAGUCAUUCACAACCACUGAUGAAGGAUUCCUCGAAAAGUUAAGGAUUAGUAGUUCUUUUUCGAAAUCCAUUUCGAAAAAGAAUGGAUUCGGUCUUAUACAUACGCGAGGAAGGUAAU